GCGUGCGUAGCUCAGCUGGAUAGAGCGUCUGGCUACGGACCAGAAGGUCGCGCGUUCGAAUCGUGUCGCACGCA
rnacentral:tRNA from 1 species